rnacentral:rRNA from 1 species
AGCCGGAUUAAUACCGCAUACGCUCUACGGAGGAAAGGGGGGGAUCUUCGGACCUCUCGCUACAGGGGCGGCCGAUGGCAGAUUAGCUAGUUGGUGGGGUAAAGGCCUACCAAGGCGACGAUCUGUAGCUGGUCUGAGAGGACGACCAGCCACACUGGGACUGAGACACGGCCCAGACUCCUACGGGAGGCAGCAGUGGGGAAUUUUGGACAAUGGGCGCAAGCCUGAUCCAGCAAUGCCGCGUGUGUGAAGAAGGCCUUCGGGUUGUAAAGCACUUUUGUCCGGAAAGAAAACUUCUGCCCUAAUACGGCGGGAGGAUGACGGUACCGGAAGAAUAAGCACCGGCUAACUACGUGCCAGCAGCCGCGGUAAUACGUAGGGUGCAAGCGUUAAUCGGAAUUACUGGGCGUAAAGCGUGCGCAGGCGGUUCGCUAAGACAGAUGUGAAAUCCCCGGGCUUAACCUGGGAACUGCAUUUGUGACUGGCGGGCUAGAGUAUGGCAGAGGGGGGUAGAAUUCCACGUGUAGCAGUGAAAUGCGUAGAGAUGUGGAGGAAUACCGAUGGCGAAGGCAGCCCCCUGGGCCAAUACUGACGCUCA